AAAUUAUUUAUUCCGUACAUUUGCAUUUAAGUCAAAGAUGAAAUAUGACCAUUUUUUGUUGGCACUUUUUCAUCUAUAUUACUGCCCUGUGCAUUGCUCAAUUGAAUUUUAUUAGAGAAAAUAAAAAGAAAAAAAAUUAAUCACCCAUUAAAAGCACAGAGACGCUAACGAAUGGGUUGAGCCUCAUCAAAAUUUUACCGGCGAAAACCCAGUAAAAAAACACCAUAUAAAGAAAAAAGUG
rnacentral:lncRNA from 1 species